AGCUGUUCAAGUCAGCGUCCUGCCCUCCCUCCGCGGGAAUAAGAAAUGAGUACAUUUUAAAUUAGAUAAGUAAAUUUUUUUUCUUUUCUUUUUCUUUUUUUUCUCCGUAGAAAAUGCAUCGAGUUUUUAUUUUAAUAAAAGGAUUGUCACCUGGAAUCGUUUUCCAACAAUCUUGAAGAGGUGUUGAGUGCUUGUUGGCUGCUUUUCCUUCGCUCUCCGAUCCAACUCAUUCCAAACCAUCUCAGCUGGAUUUGGAUCAGAUUCCAGGUCCAUGUUUUCCUCGCCGCUGCUUCAUCCUGACUCAUUGUGGUCACAUUUGCAAAGAUGCACGGCGCUCGCCAGGCGCGUUACACACUCGAUGACCUCACUGAAUCUUCUAAUGCAGCCGAGCCUGUGGAACUGAUUACUGUGGACUGGAGUUGCUCAUUUAUGCCCAAUACGUAACCUCAGGAGAAUUUAAAUGUCUCUUUUUUAUGGGUCUGGUCUGGCAAGACACAUUUUUAUCGGUGGCACUGUUCCAAAUCGGCUUGUUGCAGGCAAAUGUUUUUGUUUUUUUUGUGCCCCUCUGAAAUGUGGAGGGGAAAAAAGACGGGAUCAUAUACAGACCACGUGGAUAAAAGCAAAGAAUUGAAUUCAUUGUAUUAUUAAUUAAUCUUUUUUUCUAUACUACGUCUUGGGGGAUUUUAUAUGUUCAUUCGAUUGCAUUUUUCUGAACUCUAAUCAGUUAAGUGGCAGCCUUGAAAAGAAGUAGAGUGUCGGAGGUGUGGGUCAGUGUAAUUGACCGGACUGACCCCAUCCCCCUUAGCUCAUGAUGGAGGAGCUGGAGGUUUGUGUGGCUCGAGGAACAAUUAAAGCUGUACUGCAUUAAUAAAUCCAGCAGACGACA